AAAAAAGGUAAGCUACUAAGAGCGAAUGGUGGAUGCCUUGACUGGUAAAGGCGAUGAAGGACGUACUAGACUGCGAUAAGCUACGGGGAGCUGUCAAGAAGCUUUGAUCCGUAGAUUUCCGAAUGGGGCAACCCAAUGUAUAGAGAUAUACAUUACCUAUAUAGGAGCGAACGAGGGGAAUUGAAACAUCUUAGUACCCUCAGGAAAAGAAAUCAAUAGAGAUUGCGUCAGUAGCGGCGAGCGAAAGCGCAAGAGGGCAAACCCAGUGCUUGCACUGGGGGUUGUAGGACUGCAAUGUGCAAGAGGUAAGUUUAGCAGAACAUUCUGGAAAGUAUAACCAUAGAGGGUGAUAGUCCCGUAUGCGAAAAACAAACCUUAGCUAGCAGUAUCCUGAGUAGGGCGGGACACGAGGAAUCCUGUCUGAAUCCGGGUCGACCACGAUCCAACCCUAAAUACUAAUACCAGAUCGAUAGUGCACAAGUACCGUGAGGGAAAGGUGAAAAGAACUGAGGUGAUCAGAGUGAAAUAGAACCUGAAACCAUUUGCUUACAAUCAUUCAGAGCCCUAUGUAGCAAUACAGGGUGAUGGACUGCCUUUUGCAUAAUGAGCCUGCGAGUUGUGGUGUCUGGCAAGGUUAAGCAAACGCGAAGCCGUAGCGAAAGCGAGUCUGAAUAGGGCGCUUAGUCAGAUGCUGCAGACCCGAAACGAAGUGAUCUAUCCAUGAGCAAGUUGAAGCUAGUGUAAGAACUAGUGGAGGACUGAACCCAUAGGCGUUGAAAAGCCCCGGGAUGACUUGUGGAUAGGGGUGAAAGGCCAAUCAAACUUCGUGAUAGCUGGUUCUCUCCGAAAUAUAUUUAGGUAUAGCGUUGUGUCGUAAUAUAAGGGGGUAGAGCACUGAAUGGGCUAGGGCAUACACCAAUGUACCAAACCCUAUCAAACUCCGAAUACCUUAUAUGUAAUCACAGCAGUCAGGCGGCGAGUGAUAAAAUCCGUCGUCAAGAGGGAAACAACCCAGACUACCAGCUAAGGUCCCUAAAUCUUACUUAAGUGGAAAACGAUGUGAAGUUACUUAAACAACCAGGAGGUUGGCUUAGAAGCAGCCAUCCUUUAAAGAAAGCGUAAUAGCUCACUGGUCUAGUGAUUUUGCGCGGAAAAUAUAACGGGGCUAAAGUAAGUACCGAAGCUGUAGACUUGCACACAACUUAGAUUAUUUAAGUUUAGAAUAUGAGAAACUAAGUUAUAUGUUUAGUUAUAUUUUUACUGAUUUUUAUAGAGUAAAGAUAGAAAUAAAACUUAGUAAAAUCAGUAAAAAUAUUCUUAGACUAAAGUUAAGUAGUUUAAGUUGUGUGCAAGUGGUAGGAGAGCGUUCUAUUUGCGUCGAAGGUAUACCGGUAAGGAGUGCUGGAGCGAAUAGAAGUGAGCAUGCAGGCAUGAGUAGCGAUAAUUAAUGUGAGAAUCAUUAACGCCGUAAACCCAAGGUUUCCUACGCGAUGCUCGUCAUCGUAGGGUUAGUCGGGUCCUAAGUCGAGUCCGAAAGGGGUAGACGAUGGCAAAUUGGUUAAUAUUCCAAUACCAACAUUAGUGUGCGAUGGAAGGACGCUUAGGGCUAAGGGGGCUAGCGGAUGGAAGUGCUAGUCUAAGGUCGUAGGAGGUUAUACAGGCAAAUCCGUAUAACAAUACUCCGAGAACUGAAAGGCUUUUUGAAGUCUUCGGAUGGAUAGAAGAACCCCUGAUGCCGUCGAGCCAAGAAAAGUUUCUAAGUUUAGCUAAUGUUGCCCGUACCGUAAACCGACACAGGUGGGUGGGAUGAGUAUUCUAAGGCGCGUGGAAGAACUCUCUUUAAGGAACUCUGCAAAAUAGCACCGUAUCUUCGGUAUAAGGUGUGGUUAGCUUUGUAUUAGGAUUUACUCCGAAAGCAAGGAAACUUACAACAAAGAGUCCCUCCCGACUGUUUACCAAAAACACAGCACUCUGCUAACUCGUAAGAGGAUGUAUAGGGUGUGACGCCUGCCCGGUGCUCGAAGGUUAAUUGAUGGGGUUAGCAUUAGCGAAGCUCUUGAUCGAAGCCCGAGUAAACGGCGGCCGUAACUAUAACGGUCCUAAGGUAGCGAAAUUCCUUGUCGGUUAAAUACCGACCUGCAUGAAUGGCGUAACGAGAUGGGAGCUGUCUCAAAGAGGGAUCCAGUGAAAUUGUAGUGGAGGUGAAAAUUCCUCCUACCCGCGGCAAGACGGAAAGACCCCGUGGACCUUUACUACAGCUUGACACUGCUACUUGGAUAAGAAUGUGCAGGAUAGGUGGGAGGCUUUGAGUAUAUGACGCCAGUUGUAUAUGAGCCAUUGUUGAGAUACCACUCUUUCUUAUUUGGGUAGCUAACCAGCUUGAGUUAUCCUCAAGUGGGACAAUGUCUGGUGGGUAGUUUGACUGGGGCGGUCGCCUCCCAAAUAAUAACGGAGGCUUACAAAGGUUGGCUCAGAACGGUUGGAAAUCGUUCGUAGAGUAUAAAGGUAUAAGCCAGCUUAACUGCAAGACAUACAAGUCAAGCAGAGACGAAAGUCGGUCUUAGUGAUCCGGU
rnacentral:rRNA from 1 species